ACACACGUGCUACAAUGGCAAUGACAAUGGGAAGCAAGGCUGUAAGGCGGAGCGAAUCCGGAAAGAUUGCCUCAGUUCGGAUUGUUCUCUGCAACUCGGGAACAUGAAGUUGAAAUCGCUAGUAAUCGCGGAUCAGCAUGCCGCGGUGAAUAUGCACCCGGGCCCUGUACACACCGCCCGUCACACCCUGGGAAUUGGUUUCGCCCGAAGCAUCGGACCAAUGAUCACCCAUGACUUCUGUGUACCACUAGUGCCACAAAGGCCUUUGGUGGUCUUAUUGGCGCAUACCACGGUGGGGUCUUCGACUGG
rnacentral:ncRNA from 1 species